rnacentral:rRNA from 1 species
AUUGAACGCUGGCGGCAGGCUUAACACAUGCAAGUCGAGCGGGGAAGGGUAGCUUGCUACCUAACCUAGCGGCGGACGGGUGAGUAAUGCUUAGGAAUCUGCCAUUUAGUGGGGGACAACAUUCCGAAAGGAAUGCUAAUACCGCAUACGUCCUACGGGAGAAAGCAGGGGAUCUUCGGACCUUGCGCUAAAUGAUGUGCCUAAGUCGGAUUAGCUAGUUGGUGGGGUAAAGGCCUACCAAGGCGACGAUCUGUAGCGGGUCUGAGAGGAUGAUCCGCCACACUGGGACUGAGACACGGCCCAGACUCCUACGGGAGGCAGCAGUGGGGAAUAUUGGACAAUGGGCGGAAACCUGAUCCAGCCAUGCCGCGUGUGUGAAGAAGGCCUUAUGGUUGUAAAGCACUUUAAGCGAGGAGGAGGCUACUUAGAUUAAUACUCUAGGAUAGUGGACGUUACUCGCAGAAUAAGCACCGGCUAACUCUGUGCCAGCCGCCGCAGUAA